rnacentral:lncRNA from 1 species
UUACACAGAGAUACUUAUAAAUAACAACAUAUCAUUGCACUGAUAUUUACAAUCAGAUAUAUACCUGGGAUUUACAUUAUUACAUUUUUAUUCUAUGAAGUACAUGCCCAGCCAAAUACCCCUCAAGGAAGAGGGAUGUCUUGACUCCAAAUGACAACAUAUCAUUGCACUGAUAUUUACAAUCAGAUAUAUACCUGGGAUUUACAUUAUUACAUUUUUAUUCUAUGAAGUACAUGCCCAGCCAAAUACCCCUCAAGGAAGAGGGAUGUCUUGACUCCACUCGCAUUUCGCAAGGGAGAAAGACGUUAUAAACAAUCUCCACACAAUUAUAACUAAUUGAGGAAGUUUGAGUUCGUGGAGACUCGAACCAUUGCCCUCAUAGUCAUGCUUGACUUUAAGGGCAAUGGUUCACCACCGGGCCACA